AUGGACUCUUCCGGUCUGGCGUGCUGUAAAUCGUUUUGUCUGAUUCAGGAGGGACACUGACCCGGUGACAGGCAUUUGGAAUAACCUUAUAGAAAUAGCCAAUCUUCUCGCUGAUCUUGCUUGCUUAUGUAGGUCAUAUAGAGGCAUCAGCAGGGGAGACCGGGGCUGGUUGUCACACUUUUUACUCUUGUGUGAAUUGCUCAUCAUCUGAACAUAUUUCAAUAGUCAUUCCUACAUUAAAUGGAAGCUUAAGGUCUUGGCUUGAAAUGUGUAUCCCUUUCAUUUUUCAAAUUAUUGUAACAAAGCGGUAAUUAACCAUCAAAGACACUCUGACACAUUGUGACAACCAACCCCAUUACAGGGUUGGUUGUCACAAGGUAUGGGGUUGGUUGUCCCUAUAGUUAUCAAUGGGGUUUCAGUAAAAAAAAAAA